AAGAAGCAUACCGAGGAGUUGACUGUGGAGACGGAGGCCCGUUUGGUGCAGUUGUUGUCCGCAAUGAUGAAGUUGUAGUUAGUUGUCAUAACAUGGUUUUGAAGCACACCGAUCCAACCGCGCAUGCUGAAGUAACAGCAAUAAGAGAGGUAGGGUGCUCUAAUUCAGGCCUCAAAAUCCAAAUAUGAGGACUGUUGACCCUCCAAUUGGACUCCCCUUCUAUGCUUUUGGUGUUAGCACCAUGUUGUGCUUGUAGUAAGUUAAAAGCCACUCUUGUCAAAAAAAUAAGUUAAAAGCCACGUUCACAUACAUACAUUAAGUUUGCUGGACUCAAAUUUAGUGGUAGUAACUUAGAUGACUCUGCUGUUGAAUCAGUUAAAGCAAAACAAAUUGAUAGCUGAAAAUUGUGUAGAUUCCUGUGAAAAGUUACCAAAGUGAUAGGUCAAAGACUAGUUCACAAAAAAACAAAUCACAGUAGAUCGUAUAGACAAUUAGAUGUACAAGUAUAACAGAUGUUUUCAAGAUCACUGGAUAAAAAACGACAAUGUCAGGUCUGCCUGAGCCUUACUUCUGUGACCAUACAAUGCUUUCAUAGUGCUUGUUGCAUUAUUCAUUUGUUUCUUUGUAUAGCUUGGAUAAUCCGAUAUCCUUCUCAUAUAAAAAUGUUUCUUUUGUAUGCUAGGCUUGCAAAAAGCUUGGAAAAAUUGAGCUGUCGGAUUGUGAAAUUUACGCGUCCUGUGAACCAUGCCCAAUGUGUUUUGGUGCUGUUCAUCUUUCCCGGAUUAAGGUCUGUUUCUUUUCUUGUUCUUCAUAUGUUAGAAUAGUUAGUAAAUUACUAAUUAAUAAUCUUGUUCCAUGCUGUACUGCAGAGGCUGGUGUAUGGAGCCAAGGCUGAAGCUGCUAUUGCCAUUGGGUUUGAUGAUUUCAUUGCUGAUGCUCUCAGAGGAACUGGGUACUACCAGAAGUCCAACAUGGAAAUAAAGCAGGCAGAUGGAAAUGGAGCCCUGAUUGCGGAACAAGUCUUUGAGAAGACUAAAGAGAAGUUCCAAAUGU
rnacentral:lncRNA from 1 species